UACGUAGGUGGCAAGCGUUGUCCGGAUUUACUGGGCGUAAAGAGCGCGCAGGCGGUCGAUUUAGUCGUGUGUGAAAGCCCCCGGCUCAACUGGGGAGGGUCACGCGAUACUGAUCGACUCGAAGGCAGGAGAGGGUAGUGGAAUUCCCGGUGUAGUGGUGAAAUGCGUAGAUAUCUGGAGGAAUACCGGUGGCGAAAGCGACUCUCUGGACGGUAACUGACGCUGAGGCACGAAAGCGUGGGGAGCAAACAGGG
rnacentral:rRNA from 1 species